rnacentral:rRNA from 1 species
CCUACGGGAGGCAGCAGUGGGGAAUAUUGGACAAUGGGCGCAAGCCUGACCCAGCAACGCCGCGUGAAGGAAGAAGGCUUUCGGGUUGUAAACUUCUUUUAUCAGGGACGAAGCAAGUGACGGUACCUGAUGAAUAAGCCCCGGCUAACUACUUGCCAGCAGCCGCGUAAAUACGUAGGUGGCAAGCGUUAUCCGAUUUUACUGGGGGUAAAGGGCCUGUAGGCGGGAGGGCAAGUCAGAUGGGAAAACUGUGGGCGCAACCCGUAGCCUGCAUUUGAAACUGUACGUCUUGAGUGCUGGAGAGGUAGUCGGAAUUCCUAGUGUAGCGGUGAAAUGCGUAGAUAUUAGGAGGAACACCAGUGGCGAAGGCGGAUUGCUGGACAGUAACUGACGCUGAGGCGCGAAAGCGUGGGGAGCAAACAGGAUUAGAUACCCUUGUAGUC